rnacentral:rRNA from 1 species
GACGAACGCUGGCGGCGUGCCUAAUACAUGCAAGUCGAGCGGACAGAAGGGAGCUUGCUCCCGGAAGUUAGCGGCGGACGGGUGAGUAACACGUGGGCAACCUACCCUGUAGAUCGGGAUAACAUCGAGAAAUCGGUGCUAAUACCGCAUAAUCAUUUGAAGUGCAUGCUUCGAAUGUAAAAGAUGGCUCCGGCUAUCACUCCGGGAUGGGCCCGUGGCGCAUUAGCUAGUUGGUAAGGUAAUGGCUUACCAAGGCAACGAUGCGUAGCCGACCUGAGAGGGUGAUCGGCCACACUGGGACUGAGACACGGCCCAGACUCCUACGGGAGGCAGCAGUAGGGAAUCUUCCGCAAUGGACGAAAGUCUGACGGAGCAACGCCGCGUGAGUGAUGAAGGUUUUCGGAUCGUAAAGCUCUGUUGUUAGGGAAGAACAAGUGCCGUUUGAAUAAGGCGGCACCUUGACGGUACCUAACCAGAAAGCCACGGCUAACUACGUGCCAGCAGCCGCAGUAACAC